rnacentral:rRNA from 1 species
GUAGGGAAUCUUCGGCAAUGGACGAAAGUCUGACCGAGCAACGCCGCGUGAGUGAAGAAGGUUUUCGAAUCGUAAAACUCUGUUGGUAGAGAAGAACGUUGGUGAGAGUGGAAAGCUCAUCAAGUGACGGUAACUACCCAGAAAGGGACGGCUAACUACGUGCCAA